rnacentral:rRNA from 1 species
GACGAACGCUGGCGGCGUGCUUAACACAUGCAAGUCGAACGAGUGGCGGACGGGUGAGUAAUGUCUGGGAAACUGCCCGAUGGAGGGGGAUAACUACUGGAAACGGUAGCUAAUACCGCAUACCAUCGGAUGUGCCCCGAUGGGAUUAGCUAGUAGGUGGGGUAACGGCUCACCUAGGCGACGAUCCCUAGCUGGUCUGAGAGGAUGACCAGCCACACUGGAACUGAGACACGGUCCAGACUCCUACGGGAGGCAGCAGUGGGGAAUAUUGCACAAUGGGCGCAAGCCUGAUGCAGCCAUGCCGCGUGUAUGAAGAAGGCCUUCGGGUUGUAAAGUACUUUCAGCGAGGAGGCGUUACUCGCAGAAGAAGCACCGGCUAACUCCGUGCCAGCAGCCGCGGUAAUAC